rnacentral:rRNA from 1 species
AGUGAACGCUGGCGGCGUGCCUAAUACAUGCGAGUCGAGCGAACACAUAGUGAGCUUUCUCCUCUAACGUUAGCGACUGACGGGUGAGUAACACAUAGAUCGCCAACCUAUAAUACUUGGAUGACUACGUGAGACCGGUUCUGCUACCAGAUCAUAUAUUCAACCGCUUGGUUCAAUAGUUAAACACGCUUUUGCUGUCACUUAUAGAUGAAUCCGCGCCGCAUUAGCUAGUUGGUAAGGUAACGGCAUACCAAGGCAACGAUGCGUAGCUGACCUGAGAGGAUGAUCGGCCACACUGGAACUGAGACACGGUCCAGACUCCUACGGGAGGCAGCAGUAGGGAAUAUUGGGCAAUGGGCGAAAGCCUGACGCAGCCAUGCCGCGUGAGUGAAGAAGGUCUUCGGAUUGUAAAACUCUGUUAUUAGGGAAGAAAAGCUGUAUAAGUAAACCCCGAUGUUCUGACGGUACCUAAACAGAAAGCACCGGCUAACUACGUG